ensembl:lncRNA
UUUGUCUUCUGUUUCUAGGCCCAUUUCUAGGUGUCAUCGACGGUCAGCCAGCAUACACGGUGAGACGCCUCCUGAGGGUUCGACCAUGGGGCUUGGGUUUCCAGGACCUGGUUGACUGUGGGUUAUGGGCAGGAGGAGAGGUGCUGGGUUCCCACUAAAGACGUCCUGGACCCGACCGUUGUCACCGCCGGCACCCCGGUCAGCCAGGUGGUGCCCAGGUAGGACGCCACUUGGUGCCCAGGUAGAACGCCAGGUGGUACCCAGGUAGAACGCCAGGUGGUGCCCAGGUAGAACGCCAGGUGGUGCCCAG